rnacentral:rRNA from 1 species
GAUGAACGCUGGCGGCGUGCUUAAUACAUGCAAGUCGAGCGAAAGGACGAGACUUUUGUUUCUUUGUUGUUUGCGGAGGAGGGGUGAACAACAUGUGGAUCAUCCACCUAUCAGUGUGGGAUCAUUUGGGGAAACCGGCGAUAACACCGGAUAAUAUCUUGAUCCGUAUGGUUGAAUAGUAAGAUACGGUGUUUCUGUAUCUUAUAGAUGGAUCUGCGCUUCAUUAGCUGGUUGGGAGGGUAACGGCUUAUCAAGGGAACCAUGCGUUGCCGAAGUGAGAGGGGGGUCGCCCACAUGGGAACGUAGCAGCGCACCAGACUCCUACGGGAGGCCGCAGUAGGGAAUCUUCCGCAAUGGGCGAAAACCUUACGGAGCAAGGCGGCGUGAGUGAUAAAGGUCUUGGGAUCGGAAAACUCUGUUAUUGGGGAGGAACAGAUGUGGAAGGAAACGUGCACAUCGUGACGGUACCUAAUCAGAAAGCCACGGCUAACUACGUG